rnacentral:rRNA from 1 species
UGGGGAAUUGUUCGCAAUGGGCGCAAGCCUGACGACGCAACGCCGCGUGGAGGAUGAAGGUCUUCGGAUUGUAAACUCCUGUUGAUCGGGAAGAAUGGACCUCGGGUGAAUACUCCGGGGUAAUGACGGUACCGGAAGAAUAAGCACCGGCUAACUUCGUGCCAGCAGCCGCGGUAAUACGAAGGGUGCAAGCGUUACUCGGAAUUACUGGGCGUAAAGCGUGCGUAGGUGGUUCGUUAAGUCUGAUGUGAAAGCCCUGGGCUCAACCUGGGAAUUGCAUUGGAUACUGGCGGGCUAGAGUGCGGUAGAGGAUGGCGGAAUUCCCGGUGUAGCAGUGAAAUGCGUAGAGAUCGGGAGGAACAUCCGUGGCGAAGGCGGCCAUCUGGACCAGCACUGACACUGAGGCACGAAAGCGUGGGGAGCAAA